GCGAACCUGCGAAGGCAAGCGGAUCUCUUAAAGCCGUUCUCAGUUCGGACUGUAGGCUGCAACUCGCCUACACGAAGCUGGAAUCGCUAGUAAUCGCGGAUCAGAAUGCCGCGGUGAAUACGUUCCCGGGUCUUGUACACACCGCCCGUCACACCAUGGGAGUCGGAAAUGCCCGAAGCCAGUGACCCAACUGAAAGGAGGGAGCUGUCGAAGGCAGGUCUGAUAACUGGGGUGAAGUCGUAACAAGGUAGC
rnacentral:rRNA from 1 species